CAGCCGCCACGGGAAAACAGAGGGUGCGAGCGUUAAUCGGAUUUACUGGGCGUAAAGCGUGCGCAGGCGGUUAUAUAAGACAGAUGUGAAAUCCCCGGGCUCAACCUGGGAACUGCAUUUGUGACUGUAUAGCUAGAGUACGGCAGAGGGGGAUGGAAUUCCGCGUGUAGCAGUGAAAUGCGUAGAUAUGCGGAGGAACACCGAUGGCGAAGGCAAUCCCCUGGGCCUGUACUGACGCUCAUGCACGAAAGCGUGGGGAGCAAACAGGAUUAGAUACCCGUGUAGUCCCUGUCUCUUAUAC
rnacentral:rRNA from 1 species